rnacentral:rRNA from 1 species
GUCCACGCCCUAAACGAUGUCAACUAGGUGUUGGGUGGGUAAACCAUUUAGUACCGGAGCUAACGCGUGAAGUUGACCGCCUGGGGAGUACGGCCGCAAGGUUAAACUCAAAGGAAUUGACGGGGACCCGCACAAGCGGUGGAUGAUGUGGAUUAAUUCGAUGCAACGCGAAAACCUUACCUACCCUUGACAUGUCAGGAACUUUCCAGAGAUGGAUUGGUGCUCGAAAGAGAACCUGAACACAGGUGCUGCAUGACUGUCGU